rnacentral:rRNA from 1 species
UACGUAGGAGGCAAGCGUUUGUCCGGAGUUACUGGGCGUAAAGCGCACGCAGGCGGUCAGAUCAGUCUGGAGUGACAGUCGUCGGCUUAACCGACGAAGUGUUCUGGAAACUGUCUGACUUGAGGGCUUCAGAGGGACACGGGAAUUCCGGGUGGAGUGGUGAAAUGCGUAGAUAUCCGGAGGAAGCACCAAUGGCGAAGGGCAGUGUCCUGGGAAGUACCUGGACGCUCAGGUGGCGAAAAGCUAGGGGAGCGAACAGG